UUUUUGCCUUCGGGUACAAUUCGAGACAGGUGGUGCAUGGUUGUCGUCAGCUCGUGUCGUGAGAUGUUGGUUAAGUCCCGCAACGAGCGCAACCCUUGUGUUUAGUUGCAAACAGGUCAAGCUGUGCACUCUAGACAGACUGCCGUGGACAACACGGAGGAAGGUGGGGAUGACGUCAAAUCAUCAUGCCCCUUAUGAUCUGGGCUACACACGUGCUACAAUGGCCGGUACAACGGGCAGCGAAGGAGCGAUCCGGAGCGAAUCCUAAAAAGCCGGUCCCAGUUCGGAUUGCAGGCUGAAACUCGCCUACAUGAAGUUGGAGUUGCUAGUAAUCGCGAAUCAGAAUGUCGCGGUGAAUACGUUCCCGGGCCUU
rnacentral:rRNA from 1 species